rnacentral:lncRNA from 1 species
AACAGUUAGGACCUAACUCGUGCCUCUGCUGUCCAGCACCUCAAGUACCAUGGCCACCCUCAAGACACAAAGGAAAGGGCUGCUCUAGCACACAGAACCUGGCGGACGAGGAGCCCUGGGCAGUUGGUAUGGGCAGUACAGGAACCAUUUUUCGACAGUCUGGUCACCAAGUUUAAGAGCAAUCUAAUAAUGUGGAGGACACUGUCAGCUAACUGAAGAUGAAUGUGUGGGGGCUUUUACUCAACAACCAUUCCUCUAGAGUCUAAUACAAAAGUAGAUUUACA